rnacentral:rRNA from 1 species
UACAGAGGGGGCAAGCGUUAUUCGGAAUUAUUGGGCGUAAAGGGCGCGUAGGCGGCCUGGCAAGUGGAAGGUGAAAUCCCUCGGCUUAACCGAGGAACUGCCCUCCAAACUGCUUGGCUUGAGUCCGGGAGAGGUGAGUGGAAUUCCCAGUGUAGCGGUGAAGUGCGUAGAUAUUGGGAGGAACACCAGUGGCGAAGGCGGCUCACUGGACCGGAACUGACGCUGAGGCGCGAAAGCGUGGGGAGCAAACGGG